rnacentral:tRNA from 1 species
GGAAGCAUGCCUGAAAGAUAAGGAUUUCCUUGAUAUGGAAAACAAUAGGAGUUCAAACCCCCUUGCUUCCC